rnacentral:rRNA from 1 species
GUAGGGUGCAAGCGUUGUCCGGAAUUACUGGGCGUAAAGAGUUCGUAGGCGGUUUGUCGCGUCGUUUGUGAAAACCAGCAGCUCAACUGCUGGCUUGCAGACGAUACGGGCAGACUUGAGUACUGCAGGGGAGACUGGAAUUCCUGGUGUAGCGGUGAAAUGCGCAGAUAUCAGGAGGAACACCGGUGGCGAAGGCGGGUCUCUGGGCAGUAACUGACGCUGAGGAACGAAAGCGUGGGUAGCGAACAGGAUUAGAUACCCUGGUAGUCNNCCCCUNAANCGNNGGCCCNUAG